CAAUAGCGUAUAUUAAAGUUGUUGCAGUUAAAAAGCUCGUAGUUGGAUCUCAGGUGCAGGCGGGCGGUCCGACUCGCGUCGGUUCACUGCCCGUAUCUCCUGCCCUACCGUUUGCCGGCUCUCUCCCGCGGGUGCUCUUCACUGAGCGUCCCGGGUGGCCGGUGCGUUUACUUUGAAAAAUUAGAGUGUUCAAAGCAGGCCUCGGCAGCCUGAAUAAUGGUGCAUGGAAUAAUGGAAUAGGACCUCGGUUCUAUUUUGUUGGUUUUCGGAAUUGAGGUAAUGAUUAAUAGGGACGGACGGGGGCACUCGUACUGCGGCGUUAGAGGUGAAAUUCUUGGAUCGCCGCAAGACGGACUACUGCGAAAGCAUUUGUCAAGAAUGUUUUCAUUAGUCAAGAACGAAAGUCAGAGGCGCGAAGACGAUCAGAUACCAU
rnacentral:rRNA from 1 species